GGUAGGGUGGCCGAGUGGCAAGGCAGCCGACUUAUAACCGGCAGUCCGGGCAGCCCGUCAAAGCAUCAACCCGGCGCGGGUUCGAUCCCCGCCCCUGCCG
rnacentral:tRNA from 1 species